rnacentral:rRNA from 1 species
UACAGAGGUCCCAAGCGUUGUUCGGAUUCAUUGGGCGUAAAGGGGUGCGUAGGCGGUGAAGUAAGUUUGGAUGUGAAAAUCCCCGGGGGCUCAACCCCCCGGAAACUGCACUCAAAUACUGCUUUUGCUUAGAGGACUGGAGAGGAGAUUUGGAAAUUUCACGGGUGUAGCAGUGAAAAAUGCGUAGAUAUCGUGAGGGAAAG